rnacentral:rRNA from 1 species
UACAGAGGGGGCGAGCGUUGUUCGGAAUUACUGGGCGUAAAGGGCGCGUAGGCGGCCUUCUAAGUCGAACGUGAAAUCCCCGGGCUCAACCCGGGAACUGCGUCCGAUACUGGGAGGCUUGAAUCCGGGAGAGGGAUGCGGAAUUCCAGGUGUAGCGGUGAAAUGCGUAGAUAUCUGGAGGAACACCGGUGGCGAAGGCGGCAUCCUGGACCGGUAUUGACGCUGAGGCGCGAAAGCCAGGGGAGCAAACGGG